GCCUAACAUCUAGCCCACACCACCCACAUGACCUCCUUAUCUUUAUACCCAUACAACAAAACAUUUUACCUCUUUAGUACAGGCGAUCGAAAAAUUUAUAGGCGCUUCAGAUCCAGUACCGCAAGGGAAAGAUGAAAUAAAAAUGAAAUAACUUUAAAGCCCUAAACAGCAGAGAUUUACCCUCGUACCUUUUGCAUCAUGGUCUAGCUAGUCUAACCAAGCAAAAUGUGAACUUUAGUUUGACACCCCGAAACUAAGUGAGCUACUUCAAAACAGCCCUAAGGGGCCAACCCGUCUCUGUCGCAAAAGAGUGGGAAGAUUUUCAAGUAGAGGUGACAAGCCUAUCGAACUUAGAGAUAGCUGGUUAUUCAGGAAAAGAGUCUCAGCUCUACCUUAAGUUUUUUUAUUAGCUCAAACAAAUUCUUAGACUUAAGAGCUACUCAAGUAAGGCUCAGCUUACUUGAAACAGGAUACAACCUCCAACAUUGGGUAAAUAAGGGAAACCCAGACAAAGUGGGCCUAAAAGCAGCCACCUUAUAAAAAGCGUUAAAGCUUAAUCACUAAUUUACCCCUAAUUCCUUAAUUUCUUAUUAACCCCUCACCCCUACUGAAUCAUUUUAUACUAUUAUAAAAAUUAUUAUGCUAGAACUAGUAACAAGAAAUUGCCUUUCUCCUAAAUGUCCGCCAGAACCGAAAUAAACCCUAUCGGUAUUUAACGUAAAUGCCUUAAUUAUAGCAACUCCCAACCAGAAAACCCUAUUAUUCUCAACGUCAACCUUACACCAGAACAUUAUAGGAAAGAUAAAAGAAAGAGAAGAC
rnacentral:rRNA from 1 species